rnacentral:sRNA from 1 species
CUUUUUUGCUAUCUGCGAUAUCAAAAUUCGAACCUGCCGCAGGUUCGGGCCGAGCGCAGCGAGACAACGGAGCCGCUUGCGGCGACGGCCCGAAGGGCGAAGCCAAGUCAUCCUGCACAACCCACCA